AAAAUUGUGGAUGAGAAGAAUUAGGAAGAUGCUGAAAGGGAUGCUAAGAUUCCGGGCAAGAAAGGAGGAGCGCCAGAGAAAAAUUAGAUAAAAUUUUAUGGAUCAAAGUUAUUAUCAUAAACACCAAGUAAAUUAUUAAAAUAUUUAUAUAAAUAAUAAAUAUUUGUAAAUAAAAUUACAUUUUUAAAUAAAUAAUAUUAUUGUGAGUUUUGCUACUGUGCUUGCAAAAGCACUAAUCUCUUGAUGUUUGUAAAUUUUUUACCGUCAGAUUUACGCUUUUAAUUAUUUUCACCUGUUAAAUUAUACUAUUCAACUAACAAUCCACUCAACCCUUAAAAGCCCACAUCACCCUAACCGUAUAUCUCUUAACUUAAUGACGAAAAAUCUACAAGCACCAAUAACUUGAUACCUUUAAAAGUAUAGGAGCUCAAUUCAUAUUAUUGUUUUUGUAGAAACAAUUAUAAUUUAACUUGGAUCUUAUCAGAGCUAUCGAAAUGUACUUGCAUUUGUCGUUAUAUUUCCAAAAAAAAUACUUGUACGUACUCAAUAUGGAUUCAUGUACGAGGAGUGUAAAUUUUACAUAUUUUUGAAUGUGCAGAUAGCAGUAUUAUUUGAUAGUAUUUAUAUACCUAUAAUAAUAAUCUUUACGUGGAACUAUAAAAUUUUGAACUCUAUUUUUUCGUUCAUAUACAAAUUUGUUCG
rnacentral:lncRNA from 1 species